UCCUGGGACUCAAAGAAAGUGCAGCUGAAUUAGACGGUUUUUAGCUGGGGACUGGCUAGAUCAGUGGAAAUCACAACCAAGUUCUCCCAUUGCCUUUCUAUCCAACAGCACUGUGGAUCACCUGCAGACAAGCUUAACUAUGAACUCCUAGAGAGUGAGAUCAUGCAUGACAACUGGCAAAAGUAGGAAGCUGGUUGGGACUGAAUCUGGGCAGAACGGCUGUCGCACUUGCUUUGAAGUUACGAGCACAGCAGCACCAGAACAAUCAGCAGGCAUCUCCGAAAGUUUCCAGGGCAGGACUCUGUCGUAAAGAGGAAGCCGUCAGGUUCUUGGAUAAUUGCUGAAUGGAACUAAGGGAAAUGAGAGGAGAGAAGCAUCUCAGAGCAUGUUUGGACUUGCUGCAUGCCUUGGACCCUGCUACACACUGAUAACAAGCCGGAGUGCAAUGACUCAGUCUCAGCUCACUGCAACAUCUGCCUCCCAGGUUCAAGUGAUUCUCCUGCCUCAGCCUCCUGAGUAGCUGGGAUUACAGAGGCCUGCCACCACUCCUGGCUAAUUUUUGUAUUUUUAGCAGAGAUGGUGUUUCACCAUGUUGGCCAGGCUGGUCUCGAACUCCUGACCUCGUGAUCCACCCACCUCAGCCUCCCAAAGUGCUGAGAUUACAUGCGUGAGCCACCACACCCAGCCCUAAAGCCUUGUUAAUAAACUUCCACUCCUGCUCUGAAACUUGCCUUGGUCUCUUUUUCUGCUUUAUGCCCCUCAGUCAAAUUCUUUCUUCUGAGGAGGCAAGAAUUGAGGUUGUUGCAGACCCAUAU